AGAGUUUGAUCAUGGCUCAGGAUGAACGCUGGCGGCGCGCCUAACACAUGCAAGUCGAACGGGUUAAGGCGCCCUUUCGGGGCGCGCAUAGAGUGGCGAACGGCUGAGUAACACGUGGGCAACCUGCCCCCCGCACCGGGACAGCCUCGGGAAACCGUGGGUAAUACCGGGUACUCCGCCACCCCCGCAUGGGGGAGGCGGGAGAGCGUAUGCGGCGGGGGAUGGGCCCGCGGCCUGUUAGCUAGUUGGCGGGGCAACGGCCCACCAAGGCGAUUAUGGGUAGCUGGGUUGAGAGACCGACCAGCCAGAUUGGGACUGAGACACGGCCCAGACUCCUACGGGAGGCAGCAGUGGGGAAUCUUGCGCAAUGGGGGCAACCCUGACGCAGCGACGCCGCGUGCGGGACGAAGGCCUUCGGGUCGUAAACCGCUUUCAGCAGGGACGAGGCCGAGAGGUGACGGUACCUGCAGAAGAAGCCCCGGCUAACUACGUGCCAGCAGCCGCGGUAAUACGUAGGGGGCGAGCGUUAUCCGGAUUCAUUGGGCGUAAAGCGCUCGUAGGCUGCCCGCUAGGUCCGGGGUCAAAUCCGGGGGCUCAACCCCCGCACGCCCCGGAUACCGGCGGGCUUGAGUCGGGUAGGGGAAGGCGGAAUUCCAGGUGUAGCGGUGGAAUGCGCAGAUAUCUGGAAGAACACCGGUGGCGAAGGCGGCCUUCUGGGCCUCGACUGACGCUGAGGAGCGAAAGCUGGGGGAGCGAACAGGAUUAGAUACCCUGGUAGUCCCAGCCGUAAACGAUGGACGCUAGGUGUGGGGGGAGAUGCCCUCCGUACCGCAGCCAACGCAUUAAGCGUCCCGCCUGGGGAGUACGGCCGCAAGGCUAAAACUCAAAGGAAUUGACGG
rnacentral:rRNA from 1 species